GCUCCUAUAGUGUAGUUGGUCAACACAGGGGACUUUGAAUCCCCUACCCCAGGUUCGAGUCCUGGUGGGAGCU
rnacentral:tRNA from 1 species